UGUUAUAUUUAACAAAAUAUAAAGAACUGACACUUAAAAUUAACUAAAUGGGAGUCAGACUAAUGAAAACAAAUUUUAGAGAAAAUGUUUCACUAAAUCUAGGAAACCAAACUGCAUCAAAAUCCUGCCUUAUGUGAUGGUAAAGACUCUCUAAAAUUUAUUAAAUCCUUAUAUUUUUAGAUUUCACAAUUUAUAUUUUAAAGUCACUACACUAGUCUGAGCAAUCUCUAUUGUCAGAUCAUAAAACAAAUCCUUAAGCCUACCAUAAAACCCCCCCCUCACCUCUCGGAGGGACCGACUUUAUGGCAGGAAAGAGAGCCAAUAAAACAUAUACUAGUGUUUUGUAAAGAGGCUUCACAUGUCAGUUAUUUGAAUCUAAGGGGGGGGGUAGAAGUCACAGCACAGCUCUGGGGCUCCCCUGGUGAGCUGCUGUGAAUGGGGGUUGUAACUCCUCCCUGGGCUUAAGUAUUCUCAUGUCUAAACAGACAUACUUGUCGCUUUUUCCUGUUUUGUUCUAUUUAUUUAUUUUUCUUUAUUUCCUUAUUUCAUUUGCAGCCCUCUCUUCUUUCUGUAGGCACUUUUGAAAUGAAAUGACCUUUUUGCAAUGUAUUUAAAGUUCUUGAAAAAGAAAUAAAUCCAUAAAUAGUGUAAUGUUGAUGUAUCUGUCCUACCAUCCCCCCUGUUGAGACAUGCGAAACGCCAUGACUCAAUAUUGCAGCCCACCUAUACAAGUUUCUUUUGCAAGAUAGGCUUGUUUGCAGGUCACUUAUAGAUUUGAACUUCUAUUUUUUGCUCCAUUUUUAGUCCAAAGAUCCUUUUCAAUUUCAGGACUUAAUUGUUGCAUGACUCUUAGGAUCUCUUGUCAUAAGUUUGAUUUUUUUUCCAUAUAUAAGACCUUUAUUUGUCCCUCCGCUGCUUUUUUUUUUUCCAUCUCAUCAGCGAAGGCGUUCCCUAGAGACACUUUAUCUUUCCCUGUGGUGUGUGCGGCACAUUUACAGAUUGCUAGUUGUUUUGGUAGCUGCACAGCUUGUAGGAAAUCUUUUAAUAGGUCUGCAUGAGUUGCGAUAAUAAUGUGCUCAUACAGGAGAGAUGUCUUGCAGGCGAUAAAAAGUCAUAUUUGUUUGUAAUAAUAGUGCUGAAACUGCAUGCGGCACUUUUAAUAUUAACGGAUGAAACAGUACAAUAGGAGCACUAACUUCUUCUGCCAUAGAAGCAGCAAUCACAGCUCUCACACAGGGAGGCUGGGCGCACGCCACACUAUUAAGUUUGGAAGAAAAAUAUGCUAUUGGUCUCAUUUUAUCACCAUGUUGUUGAACUAGUACCGAGGUCAUAAACUGACCUUUGCAAUCCACCAUCUGGAAAAAAGGUUUUUUAUAGUCUGGUAAGGCAAGCGCAGCAAUUGACACGAGGGCCUGUUUUAUUUCACAUAGUGCUUUUUCUGCUUCCUCUGUCCAUUCCAAAGAGGAAGAUCUUUUUUAGAUCUUUUUCAUACAUUAGUUUGCUUAAAGGAGCCACAAUUUCUGCAUAAUUAGGCACCCAGUUUCGACAAUAGUUAAUUAACCCAGUGGAAGCACUAGUUUCUAUGUUUGAGGAAGUAGUUACCCAAUCGGUAGCUGCUUCUCCUUCCUCAACAAGAUUACCUAAUUGAUUCCACUGCUCAUUUCUUUGUUUAAACAGAGAUACAUGCGGGGAGGUCCACGUUCUGUCUAAAGAUUUUAAAUCAUCAGGAAGAGCAACAGCUGCAACGGCUGUGUGUUUUGUAUCUGCAUACAGAUAGGUCACUGUGAUUUUAGCUGGAGUGACCUUGUUGAGCCUGUCUUCCUAAUUCUUGUCAGGUCCAGCCGCAUACUUGAACCAAAGAGUUAUGUGUAAAUUGUCAGGAGGCAUUUGAUCCUGUGGGGCAGAGAUGGCUUUACCCCCAUCUGUCAGGAGUGCCUGAGCAAAGUUAUGUGGGGGUCUGUCGGGCACAUCUAAUGUAUAACAAUAGUGUGGAUUUCCAUUUCCCUUAACAACAAAGAAAUCUCCCUUUUUUAUUUCUGACUGCCUUUUAACUGCUAUGUGCCCAUCAGUGGUUGGAAUCAAAGCUAAUCCUAGCUGUAUAAGGCCAUCUCUGCCUAAUAAGUUUACUGGGCAUUCUGGGAGCAUCAAAAUGGACAACUGACAAGCUUGUCCCAGUGGAUCUCUAAACCAGACUGGCUCUGAUUCAUUGACUUGCGUUAAUUUACCCCCAGCUGACCUUACGACAGUUUCCCCACUAAUCUUUACCCCAGAAAUGUUUUCCCUGCAUGUUGUUAAACUUUCUAAUUCUAGUCAUGCUGACUGAUCUAUGUAUUUUUUCUGGGCAAUGUCUGGCUAUGUGUCCUACUUCCCCACAACACCAACAUCCUAAGUUAUUUUUUCUGUAAUUUCCCCUUCCCAUUCUCCCCUGCUGUCCUCUGAGGUUCUGAGGUCUACCCCUAAACUUUCCUCUUCCUCUCCUUUCUUGAUAAAAUAUUUGCUCCUCAUCUUGGAAAAAGGCUCCUGAAACCUUUUUCUUUUCUUUUGAGACCUCUUCUGCGCGUAUAGCGUGGUUAAUGUAUUCAUCUAAAAUCCCAGUCCUCAAUCCUAUGUAAUGUUGAUGCAUUCUCAGGCUGUAUUCAUCAAACGACUCUUCCUCCUCUUCUCUUUUUUGUGCUAAUUCUAACCAAAAUUGUACAUCCUCAUACCCUUCUUUGUGCAUUUUCUUUGGAUUUGACUUUGUUUUUUGUUUUAUUUUAUCCUGCAGUACUGUUAGUUUUUUUGAGUUUAGACGGCCGUCAAAGUUAUAGUUUGUUAUCCAUUUAUCUAAAUGUUUUAUUUUAUGCGGAUCCUGAUUUUCAAUAUUUCCAGUCAUUUGUUUUUAAACUGUCUCUUGGCUUAUUCUUACUUAUAUUUUUUCCCAUUUUUUUUAAUAUAAUUUGGCCCAGUUUUUUCGACUCCUAGGGAAUCCUAUAAACUGGAGAUCUUUUCAGUAGGCCAGCAAUUAAAAUACCUGUAUUGGUAACCCCCGCUUCAACUCUUUCGAGUGGGGGGUUCUUACCUGUGCAUCCAAAACAGGUUUGCUGGUUACAAUCCUACUGUUUUAUAUGAGAUAAAACACCAAAUGGUAUUUAUAUCUCCAAUCACACUCUCACGUUUUGUUGCGGAAUUUAAGCGCCUGCUCCGCCGGACUCUAUCGUCCUUUCCAAUUACAAAUUUAGUGCCUGAUUUGAAUAUCGUUUUUUAUUGUUGCCAUUUUUAUAUAUAUCGAAUUGAGGAAAUUUUAUUAUUGUUUUUAUUUUAUCAUUAUUAUUAUUAUUUUCCUAAUUUAUUAAAUUUUAUAAUUUUUAUUUUUAUCGCCUAAAAAUUUUUUUUUUAUUUUUAUUUUUUUUUAUCGCCUAAUUGAUUAAAUUUUACAGCAGGUCUGCACCAGGCUCCGUCCACCUGUUUCCACGAAAUUUUGCGCAAGGACUUCGGACGCCCUUAACGGAUUUUGUGCUCUAUUUGUUACCUGUUAGAGUCUAGAAUUUACAGGGUUUUCUAUUCGCGCAAUGACCCCCAGUCAUUCGCCACACUUUUAAACAAGAAUCCACUCAUCCUCUGUCUUCCCCUCGGAGUCGUCAACCGUCAGAUUCCAACAGGUAGGCCGACACCAGCCCUUCAACAGGUUUUGAGAAGUUUCCAGUAAGAAAACUUGCCGUGCGCACGCACGGACUGUACUGGGAUCCACCACACCUGCCGGAAUCUGUUCGGUAUAUUGACUUCCGGCUGCGAAGGACCAAAUAAUGUCAGGUCUAAAUACCUAUUAAAGACACAUUAAACAAACAUAGGAAAGACAAGAGAGUUAGAUUCUUUGUUCUCGCGAGGAGAGCAGACAGAGAUGUGCUUUCAGUUACAAAUCUCCAACCGCUCUGAAAACACAUCUCUCGCUCCUCUGUUUUUAUUGAAUUUAGGAACCCUCUCAUACUGGGCGCUGCAACUCUCACAGGGCGGGGAAAACAAUUCAUCACAUAGUUGCAGCGCUAAUGACAUUCACUAUCUAGACACAUGUUAUCUACACUCUAGAUCCUUCUGCUCCAAGCACGGCGUCGAGUACCAGGCACGUUGUAUAUCUUCAAAGUAACGAAGAACAAAGCACAGUUUAUUGCAGGACUGUUAAACUCUGCUGGGAGCAACUAACACCUCUAUCUCCCAAGGAGUCCUCCAGGGUAACAAAUGCUUAGAAUAGCUAUCACCUCUCUCUCCCAAGGAGGCCUUAGGAAGGAAUCAAAGUUAUUUAACACAAAGAAACAUUACUAAUAAUAGGAGAAAAAG